CGUUAGGCCAUAUGGCAAUAGCGAACUUAUGAAUCGAGUCAGGUCCGGAAGGAAGCAGCUAUAAGUAAUGUUCGCUAUGUGCUGUAUGUACAUAGAAGAAG
rnacentral:SRP_RNA from 1 species